UCCCCGUUCGUCUAUUGGCAGGACGCCGGAUUUUGGUUCCGGCAAGCGAGGUUCGAUUCCUCGACGGGGAG
rnacentral:tRNA from 1 species